UUGCUCCACCGGAAAAAGAGGAGUGGCGAACGGGUGAGUAACACGUGGGUAACCUGCCCAUCAGAAGGGGAUAACACUUGGAAACAGGUGCUAAUACCGUAUAACAAUCGAAACCGCAUGGUUUUGAUUUGAAAGGCGCUUUCGGGUGUCGCUGAUGGAUGGACCCGCGGUGCAUUAGCUAGUUGGUGAGGUAACGGCUCACCAAGGCCACGAUGCAUAGCCGACCUGAGGGUGAUCGGCCACAUUGGGACUGAGACACGGCCCAAACUCCUACGGGAGGCAGCAGUAGGGAAUCUUCGGCAAUGGACGAAAGUCUGACCGAGCAACGCCGCGUGAGUGAAGAAGGUUUUCGGAUCGUAAAACUCUGUUGUUAGAGAAGAACAAGGAUGAGAGUAACUGUUCAUCCCUUGACGGUAUCUAACCAGAAAGCCACGGCUAACUACGUGCCAGCAGCCGCGGUAAUACGUAGGUGGCAAGCGUUGUCCGGAUUUAUUGGGCGUAAAGCGAGCGCAGGCGGUUUCUUAAGUCUGAUGUGAAAGCCCCCGGCUCAACCGGGGAGGGUCAUUGGAAACUGGGAGACUUGAGUGCAGAAGAGGAGAGUGGAAUUCCAUGUGUAGCGGUGAAAUGCGUAGAUAUAUGGAGGAAC
rnacentral:rRNA from 1 species